UACGUAGGAGGCGAGCGUUGUCCGGAAUUAUUGGGCGUAAAGAGCGUGUAGGCGGCCUGAAAGGUCAGCUGUGAAAACUCGAGGCUCAACCUCGAGACGUCGGUUGAAACCAUCUGGCUAGAGUCCGGAAGAGGAGUGUGGAAUUCCCGGUGUAGCGGUGAAAUGCGCAGAUAUCGGGAAGAACACCCGUGGCGAAGGCGGCACUCUGGGACGGUACUGACGCUGAGACGCGAAAGCGUGGGGAGCGAACAGG
rnacentral:rRNA from 1 species